rnacentral:misc_RNA from 1 species
GAAAUGCGAUACGUAGUGUGAAUUGCAGAAUCCAGUGAAUCAUCGAAUCUUUGAACGCACAUUGCGCCCUUGGGUAUUCCUGGGGGCAUGCCUGUUUGAGAACCUUGACGUACCUCACACCCCACCCUGGUGUUUUUUUUGUUUUUUAGCUUUGGCGAAAUCAAUCCUCUCAGGUGUGGGAUCGUGGAUCUGGGUCCUUCUUUUUCGCAAGGAAAAGAGACCUUAAAUGAAAUGUCGACCGCAUUCUUCAGCUUGGCUGGGUUUUGCUUGAGGCACAUCAAGACGUGAUUAAUACCUUGAUUGGUUUUUCCCAGCGUCGAUAACUGAGCCUCGCAA